rnacentral:misc_RNA from 1 species
GAGGGGGACGCCGAAGGUGGGGCUGAUGACUGGGGUGAAGUCGUAACAAGGUAGCCGUACCGGAAGGUGUGGCUGGAUCACCUCCUUAAGGGAGACCUUACCCACUUUCAGCCGAAAGCAAAAAGCGAUUAAGCGAAAGCCUGGUCAACCGAGGUCGUUCGAGGAAUUGAUGAGGCUUCCAGACUAGCGUCUAGUUCUUUUACAGAUUGGAUCAAUCAUUUCUAGUCUGUAGAGAAAAGACUGUUGAUAAGGCAGUGGGCUAUUAGCUCAGGUGGUUAGAGCGCACCCCUGAUAAGGGUGAGGUCCCUGGUUCGAGUCCAGGAUGGCCCACCUUCACAGUAGAUGCAUCAGCACCUAUCGCCAAACCUUCCAACAAAACGAGCACCUCAGCACCCACAAGCAAGACACAGUUCUUUCUGCUUAGGACUGCUGAGCCUAGCUCAGCGAGAACCUUGAA